rnacentral:tRNA from 1 species
GCAUAUGUGCCAGAUUAUAUGGGUUGAUUUUAAGCGUCGAUUAUAGAGUGAUUUAUGUUAGCUCUCAUAUGUA